UGAAUUAAUGUGAAUCGCAGACUGCUUUGAACAUCGACAUCUUGAACGCAUAUUGCGGCCAUAGGUUUACCUGUGGCCACGUCUGUCCGAGCGUCGGCUUAUAAACUAUCACUGCGCCUUAAAAGCAGUGGCUUGGGAGA
rnacentral:rRNA from 1 species